rnacentral:lncRNA from 1 species
CCCAGACAGCAGGACAACCACUGGGAGCCCUCACCAUGAGCAGAAAUGUCACCUCCCCAGAGCCGAGGAAAAGCAGAAGGCAUCCUACAAAAACCUUCACAAAGUAAAUGCUGAAUGAGGUGAAUGAGCAUUGAUGGAAUCGGAGGCGAUAAGAGCAGCAGGCACAGGACGAGUCCCAUGGGGACGUGCUGGAUAAACCAGACAGUGUUUUGACGAUGCUACAGCCACGGCAGCACGAAGAAAUCAGCAGUUAAGAAGAAAGUAAGAUCAUGAGGGGACUCAAAAUUGGUAUGAGCAAUAUGUUAUUGUGUUUCUAAAGAUGAAAACAUUCACGGCGUAGAUUAUAAAUAUGCAGCUAUUAUCAAUGAUUCUGUACAAGAUGUGUUAUUAUCUAGAUUCUUAAACUAGUAGCUUAGAUGCAACCAUUAUGAAAUGAUUGUACAGAAGGAAUAUAGGAGAAUUGGGGCCUAAUUAGGGUACAGGAAGCCUGAUGGGAAGGCAAGGCUUACAAAUGAAUCUAGGGUAGGGGUUUGAAUUCAGAGUGAGGGCUCAUUUUUGACCCUGUUCUUGAUCCUAAGAGGGUGUAAUAAAGACCAUAUUUCUAAACUCAUAUAUAAUGCAUAUCUAUCACUUUGUAUAAUUAUAGUAGGUAUAUUUCAUAUAUUUCUGAAAAAUUGUAUGC